rnacentral:rRNA from 1 species
CCGCGAAUGGCUCAUUACAACAGCCAUAGUUUACUGGAUAUAUUCCAUUACAUGGAUAACUGUGGUAAUUCUACAGCUAAUACACGCAUCAAAGCCCUGACUUCGGAAAGGGUGCGUUAGUUACUUCAAACUGAUCGGUCUUCGGACUGCCAUCAAGUGAGAUUGAACUAUUUAGCUGAUCGCACGGUCUAAGCACCGGCGACAUAUCCUUCAAAUGUCUGCCUUAUCAACUUUCGAUGGUAGAUUAUGCGCCUACCAUGGUUGUAACGGGUAACGGAGAAUCAGGGUUUGAUUCCGGAGAGGGAGCCUGAGAAAUGGCUACCACAUCCAAGGAAGGCAGCAGGCACGCAAAUUACCCACUCCCGGCACGGGGAGGUAGUGACGAAAAAUAACAAGCUGGUCUCUUUGAGUUCCGGCAUUGUAAUGGGAACAACUUAAAUCAUUUAUCGAGGAUCUAUUGGAGGGCAAGUCUGGUGCCAGCAGCCGCGGUAAUUCCAGCUCCAAUAGCGUAUAUUAAAGUUGUUGCGGUUAAAAAGCUCGUAGUUGGAUCUACGAUCAAGGCUCGUGGUCGUUCUUCUCGAAUGUACUGCGAUGUCUGGUCGAUUUAUCUGGUGAACGAUUGAUGCUCUUCAUUGAGUGUCUCUAGUUGCUGGAACGUUUACCUUGAAAAAAUUGAAGUGCUCAAAGCAGGCUCUUGCCUGAACAUUGCUGCAUGGGAUAAUAGAAUAGGACUUCGGUUCUAUUUUGUUGGUUUCGGAACGCGGAGUAAUGAUUAAUAGGGACAGACGGGGGCAUUCGUAUUGCUGCGUUAGAGGUGAAAUUCUUGGAUCGUAGCAAGACGACCUACUGCGAAAGCAUUGCCAAGAA